GACGAACGCUGGCGGCGUGCUUAACACAUGCAAGUCGAACGGAAAGGCCCUGCUUGCAGGGUACUCGAGUGGCGAACGGGUGAGUAACACGUGGGUGAUCUGCCCUGCACUUCGGGAUAAGCCUGGGAAACUGGGUCUAAUACCGGAUAGGACCAUCGUUUAGUGUCGGUGGUGGAAAGUUUUUCGGUGCAGGAUGAGCUCGCGGCCUAUCAGCUUGUUGGUGGGGUAAUGGCCUACCAAGGCGUCGACGGGUAGCCGGCCUGAGAGGGUGGACGGCCACAUUGGGACUGAGACACGGCCCAGACUCCUACGGGAGGCAGCAGUGGGGAAUAUUGCACAAUGGGCGCAAGCCUGAUGCAGCGACGCCGCGUGGGGGAUGAAGGCCUUCGGGUUGUAAACUCCUUUCAGCCAUGACGAAGCUGGCCUUGUUGGGUCAGUGACGGUAGUGGUAGAAGAAGCACCGGCUAACUACGUGCCAGCAGCCGCGGUAAUACGUAGGGUGCGAGCGUUGUCCGGAAUUACUGGGCGUAAAGAGCUCGUAGGUGGUUUGUCACGUCGUCUGUGAAAUUCCGGGGCUUAACUCCGGGCGUGCAGGCGAUACGGGCAUAACUUGAGUACUGUAGGGGAGACUGGAAUUCCUGGUGUAGCGGUGAGAUGCGCAGAUAUCAGGAGGAACACCGAUGGCGAAGGCAGGUCUCUGGGCAGUUACUGACGCUGAGGAGCGAAAGCAUGGGUAGCGAACAG
rnacentral:rRNA from 1 species